UCCGAACACAUGGUUCACACACUAACAAAUAUGUUUUAUAGUUCACCAUGCUUUCAUUUCUUUCUCAAAGUUUCCAAACUCUUUUGUUUGUCAUAUCCUCAGAACUCAACCAAGACAAAGUCAUGCAUCAAACAAAUAUGAUGAAGGCCAAUUCUAACUUGAAUUAAAGAAAGUCAACCUUGAUUAGUGAUGGACAUCCUUCUGAAUUCAAGAGGAGGAUAUCAAGUAGGGAAAGCUAUGUGGACUCUCUUGAAAGAAAGCAAAUCUUUAAUUUCCAGUUAACAGCAGCCAGAGGAUAACUUUACUAUAGAAGAGAAUUAUAAUGAGAAUAAGGAUAAGAAUGAUGUUGGUGACAACACGGAUGCAGAAAAAGCAAAUGAUGAUGAUGAUGAUGUAGUGGAUGACCAUCAAGAGGAAGCAAAGUACUUACCAGAGGAUGAUGGUCCAACGGCUACAGAGGAACAACACUACAAAGGUCCAGUCACAAAAGAUGCAGAUGAAAAGAAUAAGCCUUCUACACGACAUUUCAUCCAUGGAUAUCACUUGAUCCAAGGACAGAUGAAUCAACACAGGAAUCUCGAUGGUUAUGACUUAGGGUUGUAUGCAAUAUUUGAUGGUCACUCCGGUCAUGAAGUUGCAAAAUACUUGCAAAGUCAUCUAUUCGAAAAUAUACUGAGCCUGAAUUCUGGGAAAAUCCAGUGCAUGCUGUUAAGAAAGCAUGUAAAGCCAUGGAUGAUGACAUUUUAGAAAGCAUAGCUGAUUCUCGUGGAGGAUCAACAGCUGUUGCAGCAAUACUAAUUAAUGGAGUAAAGCUACUGGUAGUCAAUGUUGGUGAUUCUCGAGCAAUAUCAUGCAAAAAUGGUCGAGCAAAACCACAUACUGUGGAUCAUGAACCAGAGAAGGAAAAAGAUCUUAUUGAGAGUAGAGGAGGUUUUGUGUCUAAGAAACCAGUUAGGGAAUGUUCCCAGAGUGGAUGGCCAAUUAGCAAUGGCAUGAGCAUUUGGAGAUGGAAAACUGAAGGAGCACAUUACGGCAGAACCAUUCGGAAGAUCGAUGAAGACACUGAAUUCAUCAUUUUGGCAAGUGAUGGCCUAUGAAAGGUACGAGGAUAUUGCAUGUAUCUUAUAAUUACUGAUGAGGACACUUUGGCUGAAGUAGAGCACUAAUUUUAAAUUUUAAAGAAAGAUACAGGAAAUGCAAUGCAAAGCCAUAAAUGUAAAUGAUAAGAAAUUUUGAAAGGAAGAGGAAUAAUUUCAAUUUUUUAAUCAA